rnacentral:rRNA from 1 species
AUUGAACGCUGUCGGCAUGCCUUACAUAUGCAAGUCGAACGGUAACAGGUCUUCGGAUGCUGACGAGUGGCGAACGGGUGAGUAAUACAUCGGAACGUGCCUAGUAGUGGGGGAUAACUACUCGAAAGAGUGGCUAAUACCGCAUGAGAUCUACGGAUGAAAGCAGGGGAUCGCAAGACCUUGUGCUACUAGAGCGGCCGAUGGCAGAUUAGGUAGUUGGUGGGAUAAAAGCUUACCAAGCCGGCGAUCUGUAGCUGGGCUGAGAGGACGAUCAGCCAACCAGGGACUGAGGCACGGCCCAGACUCCUACGGGAGGCAGGAGUGGGGAAUGUUGGACAAUGGGCGCAAGCCUGAUCUAGCAAUGCCGAGUGCAGGAUGAAGGGCUUCGGGUUGUAGACUGCUUUUGUACGGAACGAAAAGACCUGGGUUAAUACCCUGGGGUCAUGACGGUACCGUAAGAAUAAGCACCGGCUAACUACGUGCCAGCCGCCACCGUAACAC